AUCAGCUCUGUUAAAAGCUCAAAACAUGACAAAGAUAAUCUCUGACAACAUUAAAUGAUCUGGGCUUGGUCUUGGGCUGACGGGUUUCGAAGGUAUACUUUCAGACAAACGGAAGGCGCUCUCCAGUCUGAUUGUAUGCUUCCUACAGCUUACAGAGCAAGUUUCUGUGUAUAUCAGAUACUGCAUUGGGGAAAAAGAAGAGAGGAAAUCAGUUGAUUUUAGCGGCCUCAACGGCUCUCUGGAUCUUCUUUCAGCUGUUAUUUCAUCGUCGAUUACAUGUUUCAGGGUUUUAGUACUUCGUUCACUAGUGAGGCCUAGUUUGUAUUAAAAAACGCACGAGGCAAAUAAGAAAAAGGAAAAAAGGAGGGAA